GGGAACUGAAGUUAGUUGGUUGCUGUGAGAAGAAGGAAGAGUCAGUGCCUAGAGGAGCUGCCUACAAGAAACAUUAAGGAGAUCCUGCAGAGCCUCCAAGAGUGCUUAAAAAGUCCUGACACUAUUCAAGUUGUGUGUUAUCAGAUGUUGGCUGAUCCAGUACAGCUGCUGUCACAAGUUCCCACGGACCAGUUGCUGCUACACAAUUCCUGUCUUAAAACCUUUCCUGGCUUCUAGUAGUCCCUCUAGAAAGAUCCUGAUUAUUCAGGGUGAAUUGGAUUGGGACUCAUUUACAUUCCAUGGCAGUAACCAUGCUCAAAUAGGAUUUCUGGAAAUCAGUACCUGGAGAAAGGCCACUGAAGUAGAAGUGCUUCAGUUGGGAAAAAGAGUGAAGCACCCAGUCACCACUUCCUGAUGGGCCCCCCCGCCUGCCCGACAGCUCCUGAAAAUUGGUCUGGCAACCAUCGCAGUUCCAGUAGAUGAUCAACCGGCACCUACGUGCUUGGGAAAAAGAUGAGAAUAACAUCAGAAUAACAGAGUGGGUCAUGUUGGAAGGGACCACAAUGGAUCAUCUGGUCCAACCUCUCUGCUAAAGCAGGAUUGUGGUCUGAUGGUUCUUGAACCUCUCCAGUGGAGGAGACUUCACAACCAACAUCACUUUUGGCCAAGCUGUUCCAGUGCACGGCCACCUGCACAGUGAAGAAAUUCUUCCUCAUAUUCAAGUGCAAGUUCCUAUGAAUCUGUUUUUGACUGUUACCUCUUGUCCCAUUGCUUGGCACCACCAAGAGCUUGGUUCCAUUCUCUUGGCCCGCUCCCUUCAG